rnacentral:rRNA from 1 species
GUAGUCCGGAUUGGAGUCUGCAACUCGACUCCAUGAAGUCGGAAUCGCUAGUAAUCGUAGAUCAGAAUGCUACGGUGAAUACGUUCCCGGGCCUUGUACACACCGCCCGUCACACCAUGGGAGUGGGUUGCAAAAGAAGUAGGUAGCUUAACCUUCGGGAGGGCGCUUACCACUUUGUGAUUCAUGACUGGGGUGAAGUCGUAACAAGGUAACCGUAGGGGAACCUGCGGUUGGAUCACCUCCUUACCUUAAAGAA